rnacentral:rRNA from 1 species
CAGCAGCCACGGUAAUACGGAGGGUGCAAGCGUUAAUCGGAAUUACUGGGCGUAAAGCGCACGCAGGCGGUCUGUCAAGUCAGAUGUGAAAUCCCCGGGCUUAACCUGGGAACUGCAUUUGAAACUGGCAGGCUAGAGUCUUGUAGAGGGGGGUAGAAUUCCAGGUGUAGCGGUGAAAUGCGUAGAGAUCUGGAGGAAUACCGGUGGCGAAGGCGGCCCCCUGGACAAAGACUGACGCUCAGGUGCGAAAGCGUGGGGAGCAAACAGGAUUAGAUACCCGCGUAGUCCCUGUCUCUUAUAC